AUUGAACGCUGGCGGCAGGCCUAACACAUGCAAGUCGGGCGCGCGGCGGACGGGUGAGUAAUGUAUGGGGAUCUGCCUGAUGGAGGGGGAUAACUGCUGGUAACGGUAGCUAAUACCGAAUACCAUCAGCUGAACCCAUAUGGGAUUAGCUUGUAGGUGAGUUAACGGCUCACCAAGGCGACGAUCCCUCGCUGGUCUGAGAGGCUGAUCAGCCACACUGGGACUGAGACACGGCCCAGACUCCUACAGGAGGGAGCAGUGGGGAAUAUGCAACAAUGGGAGCAAGCCUGAUGCAGCCAUGCCGCGUGGAUGAAGAAGGCCUUCGGGUUGUAAAGUACGUUCAGGCGGGAGACGUUACCCGCAGAGGAAGCACCGGCUGACUCCGUGCCAGCAGCCGCGUAAUAC
rnacentral:rRNA from 1 species